CACCUGUAACCAGGUGAGACACCAUCAUAACAAACAUCGGCCAUUCACCUGUAACCAGGUGAGACACCAUCAUAACAAACAUCGGCCAUUCACCUGUAACCAGGUGAGACACCAUCAUAACAAACAUCGGCCAUUCACCUGUAACCAGGUGAGACACCAUCAUUACAAACAUCGGCCAUUCACCUGUAACCAGGUGAGACACCAUCAUAACAAACAUCGGCCAUUCACCUGUAACCAGGUGAGACGCCAUCAUAACACAAACAUCUGUCAUUCACCUGUAACCAGGUGAGACGCCAUCAUAACAAACAUCUGCCAUUCACCUGUAACCAGGUGAGACACCAUCAUAACACAACCAUCUGUCAUUCACCUGUAACCAGGUGAGACGCCAUCAUAACACAAACAUCUGUCAUUCACCUGUAACCAGGUGAGACACCA